rnacentral:lncRNA from 1 species
GAGGCAGUUGAGUCUGAUCCUUUUGAGUUGUAACUACGUGCUCUUUCCUUGAAGUUAUGGCUUCCGAACUCUUAGUUGACUCAGAUCAUGGGUGAGUUGGCUCAGAUGAGGGCCAAUUCAAUCUAAAGGUAAGUUAGCUUAUUCUGGCAUACAAGAUGUUUCAAAAAUUUUUCUUAGGGACUUUCAGGGAUUUUGGCUUUUCAUGAAAUGGUGUAUUCAAGCAUGCCAAAAAUAUAAUUCAUCU